CAAACAAACAAACCAUAUAUUUGUUUCUCCUUUGGAAGUCCACAGAUUUAGAAGAAUCUAUAAGAAGACAGAGCUUGUUGACACAUCUCAGCUGCAUUUCAACUAAUUGUGGAAUGCUUUGACUUCAACAAAAUUCACACCAUAUGUCAAAGAAGAAAAAGAAAUCUUACAGUUUCCAUCUCUCUUGUAAUGUCUUUCACUGAAGGUGAACUACUCUGAUUUUGCAGAUGUUACACAUGAGGUCCUGUCACUCCUCUUGACAAUGAAGAGAUCAGCACCCGCCCCUCCUCUUUCCUCCUGUCAGGAUGUUGAAAACCACAAUGAGGUCUCCCCUCUUGCUCCUCUUCUCUCUGCUGAACAAACCAAGUGACCUCAGCCACUCCCUGAAAAGCUUCCCCUUAAGUCCCUUCAUCACCUUUGCUGCACCCAAAACACCUCACACUUGAGUUCCUUAUUCAGGGAGAAGAAGCUGAAUCAGCUGUUGCAGAUUGCCUGCUGCCUCGUCUGCCUCUGCAGACUGGAAAGGACCACUCCUGCUACCAAGGAAAACAGGGAGUAAAAAUCCAAAUACCAUGCCCUUGACUUGGUUAUGGAAAAGAAAGCAGUAUGAAGAUGCAGCACAGAAGUGGAAAACUCAAUAUAAAUAUUCCCUAAUACCCUAAGAGGGAUAAAUAUUACUCUAUGGCAAGAUUUGGCUUUUCUGACUGUAAAGCUCCCCUUCUAAGAGAAAAAGGAGAUAUAAAGCCCAAAAAAAAUACCGGAGACCAUGUUUAAGGCUGAAUUGAAAUAAAUUUCCUACCAAACUCAGCAAAGUAUCUUGUAUUGGUGACAAGUUUAGCAGUUUAAAAAGAUAUACUUGAAAAAGAGGGUCCUCUCUGAAUGCCUUAAUAUUUCCAGCAUAUCCCAUAAUAUGCCUAAUGGUUUACCACAUAAUUGCAUCAU